ACCCACAUUUACUUGGAUAACUGUGGUAAUUCUAGAGCUAAUACAUGCAAACAGAGUUCCGACCGGAGACGGGAGGAAUGCUUUUAUUAGAUCAAAACCAAUCGGCGGCGGUUGCGUUCGCGCUGCCGUUCGCCGCUCAACCUGGUGACUCUGAAUAACUUUCGGCUGAUCGCACGGUCUAGCACCGGCGACGCAUCUUUCAAAUGUCUGCCUUAUCAACUGUCGAUGGUAGGUUCUGCGCCUACCAUGGUCGUAACGGGUAACGGGGAAUCAGGGUUCGAUUCCGGAGAGGGAGCCUGAGAAACGGCUACCACAUCCAAGGAAGGCAGCAGGCGCGCAAAUUACCCACUCCCGGCACGGGGAGGUAGUGACGAAAAAUAACGAUACGGGACUCAUCCGAGGCCCCGUAAUCGGAAUGAGUACACUUUAAAUCCUUUAACGAGGAUCAAUUGGAGGGCAAGUCUGGUGCCAGCAGCCGCGGUAAUUCCAGCUCCAAUAGCGUAUAUU
rnacentral:rRNA from 1 species